CGAAUGCUGACGUGAGUAACGACAAAACGGGUGAAAAACCCGUUCGCCGAAAGACCAAGGGUUCCAGUCCAACGUUAAUCGGGGCUGGGUGAGUCGACCCCUAAGGCGAGGCCGAAAGGCGUAGUCGAUGGGAAAAUGGUUAAUAUUCCAUUACUUCUGUGUAAUGCGAUGAGAGGACGGAGAAGGCUAAAUCAGCCUGGCGUUGGUUGUCCAGGUGAAAGGAUGUAGGCAUGUAUCUUAGGCAAAUCCGGGGUACUCUAUGCUGAGAUCUGAUAGCAAGCUGUACUUGUACAGCGAAGUGGUUGAUGCCAUGCUUCCAGGAAAAGUCUCUAAGCUUCAGUUACACAGGAAUCGUACCCGAAACCGACACAGGUGGUCAGGUCGAGUAGACCAAGGCGCUUGAGAGAACUCUGCUGAAGGAACUAGGCAAAAUGGUACCGUAACUUCGGGAGAAGGUACGCUGUUGUUGGUGAUGGAACU
rnacentral:rRNA from 1 species